GUGACAUCCUCUUGCCAAGCUUUCUUGAACAAGUCAUCAAACUGCACGGAUAAGUCACUCAGUUUCACCUCCACUGUGUUCGUAGCAGCACUCUGAUCCUCAUAUAUAUUCCAAGAGCAUGAAUGUGUAUCCUUAAGAUCGCCAAGAUCAGGUCCUUGCUUAAAGCUUGGAGGAGCGGUUUGGGCAGGACCGCCAUUAAGAACCUCCCUUACCCAUUCACCGUUUGUAGCACCAUCAGGAACAACUCUGCCCAACGAAGGGGAAUCA
rnacentral:misc_RNA from 1 species